GGCGCAGCUAACGCGAUAAGUAGACCGCCUGGGGAGUACGGUCGCAAGACUAAAACUCAAAUGAAUUGACGGGGGCCCGCACAAGCGGUGGAGCAUGUGGUUUAAUUCGAUGCAACGCGAAGAACCUUACCUGGUCUUGACAUAGUAAGAACUUUCCAGAGAUGGAUUGGUGCCUUCGGGAACUUACAUACAGNUGCUGCAUGGCUGUCGUCAGCUCGUGUCGUGAGAUGUUGGGUUAAGUCCCGCAACGAGCGCAACCCUUUUCCUUAUUUGCCAGCGGGUUAAGCCGGGAACUUUAAGGAUACUGCCAGUGACAAACUGGAGGAAGGCGGGGACGACGUCAAGUCAUCAUGGCCCUUACGACCAGGGCUACACACGUGCUACAAUGGUCGGUACAAAGGGUUGCUACCUAGCGAUAGGAUGCUAAUCUCAAAAAGCCGAUCGUAGUCCGGAUUGGAGUCUGCAACUCGACUCCAUGAAGUCGGAAUCGCUAGNAAUCGCGGAUCAGAAUGCCGCGGUGAAUACGUUCCCGGUGCCUUGUACACACCGCCCGUCACACCAUGGGAAUUUUGUUGCACCANAAGUAGGUAGUCUAAACCGCAAGGANGGACGCUUACCACNGNGUGGCCGAUGACUGGGGGUGAAGUCNUAAACAAGGGUAACCA
rnacentral:rRNA from 1 species